AUUUGUUUUAUUUUCUUUUUCUUUUAAAAUUCAUAGUAAUUUCGAAUUUUAUCCAAAAAAUCUCAAAAUAAUUUCUAAAAUUUUCUUUUAUUUUCCUUCAUUUGAUUUUUAUUUUUCCAUAUUUUAUUUCAUUGAUUUUCUAUUUUUUUUGAAUUUUCUCUUUUCUCCUUUGUUCUAAUUGGUUUAAAAAUACUUUUCUGUAUUUUAAAAUUCUGGACAAAUUAUUAUGUGCUUCUUAUUUCAUUUCUAACCUUCCAUAAUUUUCUUGGCCAUUUAUUUGGUGUUUUGAAGGAAUUUAUGGAUUUUUCAUUUUAUAUCUAUUUUAAA
rnacentral:lncRNA from 1 species